GGAAGGAAGUGCUUCAAGUGGCUAUUAUUUCUCUCCUGAACUAUAAUUAAAAGUAUUUUUAAUUGUUUUAAUAAAUUCUCAUCUUCUUCCCCCCACGUACACAUAGAAGAUUAGAAAUAUGUCAGAGAAAUUGAAAACAAUCACCCAUGGGCCAAAAUAUGUUUGGUAACAGUAGUUCAAUAAGUAAAGCAAAAAAAAAAAGUUCUGUAAUUAGUUGAUGAUAUCUGUGUUAGAUUGCCCCAGCCCUUUUCACUCCCAGAAUAUAAAAGGCAGCAUUGAGAUCUCUGAUAAUGCAGGUUUAAUUAAAAGGCAAAUAAAGGUGUAUUUUUACAACGUUAUCUACAUGAGAAGCAUAGAGGUUUACCAUCUUAUAAGGAAGAAGUAUGGAAUUUCUAAAAUGGAAUUGUGAGAUUGCUUUUCACUGCCAGGCUGUAAUGAAGACCAAAUGUAUCUAGAGCUGUUCUGAGUGUAACUAUGUGAAUACAUUUUCUGAAGAUUUUUCUGUGCCAUAUCUA